UGUAGGACCUUUUAGGAAGUAGGGAUAUAUAGUUUAAUUGGUUUUAUGCAAACCACGGAACUAUUCGUUAUAAACCCAACCGGGAACAUCCAUAGGCGAUUCAACCAGCCAUACAGGACUUACCAACGGAAUCACAAGGUUUAUACCCGAUAUAAUCCCUCACUAACCAUGCCGGGAACACCCCUCUUAGGGCUUACCAACGCCAUGAUUUAAGCUUA
rnacentral:lncRNA from 1 species